rnacentral:rRNA from 1 species
GACGAACGCUGGCGGCGUGCUUAACACAUGCAAGUCGAACGCUGAAGCCCUGGCUUUUGUUGGGUUGGAUGAGUGGCGAACGGGUGAGUAACACGUGAGUAACCUGCCCUCUUCUUUGGGAUAACGCCCGGAAACGGGUGCUAAUACUGGAUAUUCACUGAUCUUCGCAUGGGGGUUGGUGGAAAGGUUUGUUCUGGUGGGGGAUGGGGUCGCGGCCUAUCAGCUUGUUGGUGGUGUGAUGGCCUACCAAGGCUUUGACGGGUAGCCGGCCGGGGAGGGUGGCCGGUGAGGUUGGGAGGGAGAAACGGGCCAGACAUAUGCGGGAGGCAGCAGUGGGGAAUAGUGGACAAGGGGAGAAAGCAGGAGGCGGCGGCGGGGCGUGAGGGAGGGGGGCGGUGGGGGUGGGAACCUGGGUCGCACAGGGUCAAGGCGCGACUGGGGGUUGGGGUGAGGGUAGUGGGUAAAGAAGCGCCGGCUAACUACGUG